rnacentral:rRNA from 1 species
UACGAAGGGGGCUAGCGUUGCUCGGAAUCACUGGGCGUAAAAGCGCACGUAGGCGGCUUGUUAAGUCAGGGGGUGAAAUCCUGGAGCUCAACUCCAGAACUGCCUUUGAUACUGGCGAGCUUGAGUCCGGGAGAGGUGAGUGGAACUGCGAGUGUAGAGGUGAAAUUCGUAGAUAUUCGCAAGAACACCAGUGGCGAAGGCGGCUCACUGGCCCGGUACUGACGCUGAGGUGCGAAA